UCCGGUCAUAACAUAAUUCAUUUUUAUUCCUUCCUCGCUCCGCUGUUGUUUCCGGCGGUUUAUGGAGAGCAGGAAUAUCCGGCAGGUUGGACGUCAUCCCUCCCAGUGGAGGUGUUGACUCACCGGACAGAAAACAAGACUCGGCGAGGCCAUGCAUGCUUUCAGCCACGGGUGUGAUAAAGAAGAGACUGCGUGAGACUGGGGAGCAAGAGAUCAUCCGAUCCCCAUUUUUAAUCCAAUGGUUUACUCAUUAUCAAAUCUGAAUCAGCACACAGCAGCAACAAUCUGUAUUUUAGCUGAAAUAGCUGUAACACACUGCCAUUUGUCAUGUCGACAAAAAGUUGGUGCAAUGAAAUCAGAUGUUUUUUUUUAAAGUGUUUAUUUUGGCAAGCACCAUUCGAAAUAGAGCAAAUUUGUCAUGUGCUUAUGUUAUGUGAUGAAGAAUAAAAUUAUAUACCCAUGCAAAAA